rnacentral:rRNA from 1 species
AAACCAACAGGGAUUGCCUCAGUAACGGCGAGUGAAGCGGCAAAAGCUCAAAUUUGAAAUCUAGCACCUUCGGUGUUCGAGUUGUAAUUUGAAGAUGGUAACCUUGGGUUUGGCUCUUGUCUAUGUUCCUUGGAACAGGACGUCAUAGAGGGUGAGAAUCCCGUCUGAUGAGAUGCCCAUUCCUAUGUAAGGUGCUAUCGAAGAGUCGAGUUGUUUGGGAAUGCAGCUCUAAGUGGGUGGUAAAUUCCAUCUAGAGCUAAAUAUUGGCGAGAGACCGAUAGCGAACAAGUACAGUGAUGGAAAGAUGAAAAGAACUUUGAAAAGAGAGUGAAAAAGUACGUGAAAUUGUUGAAAGGGAAGGGCAUUAGAUCAGACUUGGUGUUUUACGAUUAUCUUCUCUUCUUGAGUUGUGCACUCGUAUUUCACUGGGCCAGCAUCGAUUCGGAUGGCAAGAUAAUGGCAGUUGAAUGUGGCUUCACUUCGGUGGAGUGUUAUAGCUUCUGCUGAUAUUGCCUGUCUGGAUCGAGGGCUGCGUCUUUUGACUAGGAUGCUGGCGUAAUGAUCUAAUGCCGC